AUUGAACGCUGGCGGCAUGCCUUACACAUGCAAGUCGAACGGUAACAGGUCUUCGGAUGCUGACGAGUGGCGAACGGGUGAGUAAUACAUCGGAACGUGCCCGAGAGUGGGGGAUAACGAGGCGAAAGCUUUGCUAAUACCGCAUACGAUCUCAGGAUGAAAGCAGGGGACCGCAAGGCCUUGCGCUCACGGAGCGGCCGAUGGGAGAUUAGGUAGUUGGUGGGAUAAAAGCUUACCAAGCCGACGAUCUGUAGCUGGUCUGAGAGGACGACAAGCCACACUGGGACUGAGACACGGCCCAGCCUCCUACGGGAGGCAGCAGUGGGAAUUUUGGACAAUGGGCGCAAGCCUGAUCCAGCCAUGCCGCGUGCAGGAUGAAGGCCUUCGGGUUGUAAACUGCUUUUGUACGGAACGAAAAGACUCUGGUUAAUACCUGGGGUCCAUGACGGUACCGUAAGAAUAAGCACCGGCUAACUACGUGCCAGCCGCCGCGGUAAAAC
rnacentral:rRNA from 1 species